CGGGUAGCCGGCCUGAGAGGGCGACCGGCCACACUGGGACUGAGACACGGCCCAGACUCCUGCGGGAGGCAGCAGUGGGGAAUAUUGCGCAAUGGGCGAAAGCCUGACGCAGCGACGCCGCGUGGGGGAUGACGGCCUUCGGGUUGUAAACCUCUUUUACCACCAACGCAGGCUCCGGGUUCUCUCGGGGUUGACGGUAGGUGGGGAAUAAGGACCGGCUAACUACGUGCCAGCAGCCGCGGUAAUACGUAGGGUCCGAGCGUUGUCCGGAAUUAUUGGGCGUAAAGAGCUCGUAGGCGGCGUGUCGCGUCUGCUGUGAAAGACCGGGGCUUAACUCCGGUUCUGCAGUGGAUACGGGCAUGCUAGAGGUAGGUAGGGGAGACUGGAAUUCCUGGUGUAGCGGUGAAAUGCGCAGAUAUCAGGAGGAACACCGGUGGCGAAGGCGGGUCUCUGGGCCUUACCUGACGCUGAGGAGCGAAAGCAUGGGGAGCGAACAGGAUUAGAUACCCUGGUAGUCCAUGCCGUAAACGUUGGGCGCUAGGUGUGGGGACUUUCCACGGUUUCCGCGCCGUAGCUAACGCAUUAAGCGCCCCGCCUGGGGGAGUACGGA
rnacentral:rRNA from 1 species